rnacentral:rRNA from 1 species
GGGGGUACUCGAGCGGCGAACGGGUGAGUAACACGUGAGCAACCUGCCCCUGACUCUGGGAUAAGCCCGGGAAACUGGGUCUAAUACCGGAUAUGACGCACUCUCGCAUGGGAUGUGUGUGGAAAGUUUUUCGGUUGGGGAUGGGCUCGCGGCCUAUCAGCUUGUUGGUGGGGUGAUGGCCUACCAAGGCGACGACGGGUAACCGGCCUGAGAGGGCGACCGGUCACACUGGGACUGAGACACGGCCCAGACUCCUACGGGAGGCAGCAGUGGGGAAUAUUGCGCAAUGGGCGGAAGCCUGACGCAGCGACGCCGCGUGGGGGAUGACGGCCUUCGGGUUGUAAACCUCUUUCAGCAGGGACGAAGCUAACGUGACGGUACCUGCAGAAGAAGCGCCGGCUAACUACGUGCCAGCAGCCGCGGUAAUACGUAGGGCGCAAGCGUUGUCCGGAAUUAUUGGGCGUAAAGAGCUCGUAGGCGGUUUGUCGCGUCUGUCGUGAAAGCCCACGGCUUAACUGUGGGUCUGCGGUGGAUACGGGCAGACUAGAGGCAGGUAGGGGAGAAUGGAAUUCCCGGUGUAGCGGUGAAAUGCGCAGAUAUCGGGAGGAACACCGGUGGCGAAGGCGGUUCUCUGGGCCUGUACUGACGCUGAGGAGCGAAAGCGUGGGGAGCGAACAGGAUUAGAUACCCUGGUAGU